UCUGACAAUAGCAAACCCGUAGCAAUACGGGGACGCAAAGCUAUGGGUCCUUGCACCAGGGAUUGCCAGGCUGCCGAAG
rnacentral:ncRNA from 1 species